rnacentral:rRNA from 9 species
UGCGGCGACGUGGGCGGUUCGCUGCCCGCGACGUUGUGAGAAGUCCACUGAACCUUAUCAUUUAGAGGAAGGAGAAGUCGUAACAAGGUUUCCGUAGGUGAACCUGCGGAAGGAUCAUUG